AGUCGAGCGGAGAAACUGGAGCUUGCUCCAGUUUUUCAGCGGCGGACGGGUGAGUAACACGUGGGCAACCUGCCCUGCAGAUCGGGAUAACUCCGGGAAACCGGUGCUAAUACCGAAUAGUUUGGAACCUCUCCUGAGGUUCCACGGAAAGACGGUUUCGGCUGUCACUGCAGGAUGGGCCCGCGGCGCAUUAGCUAGUUGGUGGGGUAAUGGCCCACCAAGGCGACGAUGCGUAGCCGACCUGAGAGGGUGAUCGGCCACACUGGGACUGAGACACGGCNCANACUCCUACGGGAGGCAGCAGUAGGGAAUCUUCCGCANUGGACGCAAGUCUGACGGAGCAACGCCGCGUGAGUGACGAAGGUUUUCGGAUCGUAAAACUCUGUUGUGAGGGAAGAACAAGUACCAACUAACUACUGGUACCU
rnacentral:rRNA from 1 species